rnacentral:tRNA from 1 species
GUCACUUUGCCGGAGUGGUUAACGGGAUCGCCUGCUAUAUUACGUAAUCAUUGCGUACGUAAGCAUCCAGCGGUUGGGCUUUGCCCGCGUGUGUUCGAAUCGCACAGGUGACG